AGAGUUUGAUCAUGGCUCAGGACGAACGCUGGCGGCGUGCUUAACACAUGCAAGUCGAACGGUGAUGAGGAGCUUGCUUCUCUGAUCAGUGGCGAACGGGUGAGUAACACGUGAGUAACCUGCCCUUGACUCUGGGAUAAGCACUGGAAACGGUGUCUAAUACCGGAUAUGAGCUUCAGCCGCAUGGCUAGGAGUUGGAAAGAAUUUCGGUCAAGGAUGGACUCGCGGCCUAUCAGCUUGUUGGUGAGGUAAUGGCUCACCAAGGCGACGACGGGUAGCCGGCCUGAGAGGGUGACCGGCCACACUGGGACUGAGACACGGCCCAGACUCCUACGGGAGGCAGCAGUGGGGAAUAUUGCACAAUGGGCGCAAGCCUGAUGCAGCAACGCCGCGUGAGGGACGACGGCCUUCGGGUUGUAAACCUCUUUUAGUAGGGAAGAAGCGAAAGUGACGGUACCUGCAGAAAAAGCACCGGCUAACUACGUGCCAGCAGCCGCGGUAAUACGUAGGGUGCAAGCGUUGUCCGGAAUUAUUGGGCGUAAAGAGCUCGUAGGCGGUUUGUCGCGUCUGCUGUGAAAACCCGAGGCUCAACCUCGGGCCUGCAGUGGGUACGGGCAGACUAGAGUGCGGUAGGGGAGAUUGGAAUUCCUGGUGUAGCGGUGGAAUGCGCAGAUAUCAGGAGGAACACCAAUGGCGAAGGCAGAUCUCUGGGCCGUAACUGACGCUGAGGAGCGAAAGCAUGGGGAGCGAACAGGAUUAGAUACCCUGGUAGUCCAUGCCGUAAACGUUGGGAACUAGAUGUGGGGACCAUUCCACGGUCUCCGUGUCGCAGCUAACGCAUUAAGUACCCCGCCUGGGGAGUACGGCCGCAAGGCUAAAACUCAAAGAAAUUGACGGGGGCCCGCACAAGCGGCGGAGCAUGUGGAUUAAUUCGAUGCAACGCGAAGAACCUUACCUGGGUUUGACAUGCACAGGACGUGCCUAGAGAUAGGUAUUCCCUUGUGGCCUGUGUGCAGGUGGUGCAUGGCUGUCGUCAGCUCGUGUCGUGAGAUGUUGGGUUAAGUCCCGCAACGAGCGCAACCCUUGUCUCAUGUUGCCAGCACGUCAUGGUGGGGACUCGUGAGAGACUGCCGGGGUCAACUCGGAGGAAGGUGGGGAUGACGUCAAGUCAUCAUGCCCCUUAUGUCCAGGGCUUCACGCAUGCUACAAUGGCCGGUACAAAGGGCUGCGAUGCCGUGAGGUGGAGCGAAUCCUUUCAAAGCCGGUCUCAGUUCGGAUCGGGGUCUGCAACUCGACCCCGUGAAGUCGGAGUCGCUAGUAAUCGCAGAUCAGCAACGCUGCGGUGAAUACGUUCCCGGGCCUUGUACACACCGCCCGUCACGUCAUGAAAGUCGGUAACACCCGAAGCCGGUGGCCUAACCCCUUGUGGGAGGGAGCCGUCGAAGGUGGGAUCGGCGAUUGGGACGAAGUCGUAACAAGGUAGCC
rnacentral:rRNA from 1 species